AAAGCGUGCGCAGGCGGUUAUACAAGACAGGCGUGAAAUCCCCGGGCUUAACCUGGGAAUGGCGCCUGUGACUGUAUAGCUAGAGUGUGUCAGAGGGGGGUAGAAUUCCACGUGUAGCAGUGAAAUGCGUAGAUAUGUGGAGGAAUACCAAUGGCGAAGGCAGCCCCCUGGGAUAACACUGACGCUCAUGCACGAAAGCGUGGGGAGCAAACAGGAUUAGAUACCCGAGU
rnacentral:rRNA from 1 species